CUGGCGCCCGAAUAGGGACCUUGCCAAGUGAAAGUAGUGCCAAGGAAGUGAGACAAGUGAAGUGAUAGGGUGAACGAUAGAGUUACCACCCACACUAUCCGAAAAAAAUAUCCGAACGCACGAAGCCUCUCUGGACCGCAGGACCUCUGCAGCCGUGUGGAAGAGCCCCUCAGUAGCCACAACAGUUAGGAGCUCGCUUGUGGACCGAACAGGAAUUUGCCGCCACACUGGGAAGGAAGGAAGACACUUCAAGGAUCCCGACCAACCAGUCUCGCUGAACCCGCCAGCGGUUGGAUAAAUCAAAAGGUGAUAAUAGGACAUCGAGACAAAAGUACUGGACACGCGCACCGAAGCUUUUCGAGACGUCACUGAAAGAGGAUUGACAUCCGAAAGUACGUUGUUCCGCAGUCUUGUGGUGUUCCCACAAGAUGUUCAGGAUUUACAUACGUAAACAAAAGGCCAACAUAACAGUCCACUUCGACAAAAACGCUGAGACCAUCCUAAUAAAUGAGCCACCAAAAACAACGGAAAUUAAACCUGACACCAACAACACAGAGGAAUUAUCAGACGAAAGAAAAAAACAACUUCAAGCAUUCUUUGAUGCACCAACACCA